UGAAAACAAAACUAAGUUAUAUUUGGUUUUGUAUUUGGUGCUGUGACAUUAAAGAUCAUUUUAAAGGCAAAAGCACAUUCUAAAAAUGUCUUCUUCCCUCUCCUUCACGUUUCUUAGUUGAGGCCCAAAACAAAUACACCGGACACUAACCCUGGUUGGGAUUCGGAGUGGAGGGAAAAGCGACCGGGCCUCCUGGGAUCCGCUUGGCCGAAGUAGAGACAUCCCGUGCUUGCAUUUUGACCUUUGCCGGUUCGGUUGCACUCGCCUUGGCAUCCCAAAAUGCUAGGCUGGCCUCCGUGAUCCCGCCCUCCCCACAUUGGCGUCAUUUUGUUUGGAUUGGUGCUGCAAUUUGUUCGUAGAACAGCAACAUAAACAGAGCGUGACUCAGGAAUUUGAAAGGGUGUGCAAAGCAAAGGGCAUGAAGGGUAAUGAAGGUUCGGAGAAGGAAACGGUAUCAGUGACUACUACUGUGGUGACCGUGCACGUUCAAAUGUAGACAUGAUUCACUUUCCCCUGUUUACCUAGAAGUUAGGCUUAUCUUUUGGAAAUGAAAACAUCGAGUCUUUUAGAUGAUUAACUGUGGUGCCCAAAUUUUCUUUUCCUCUCCUGCAACAAUUCAUAAAAAAAAACAAAACAAACAAAAAAAAAAACAGUUUUACUGGUUACAUGACCUCCUGCGGAUUGAGAACGCAGCUGGAAUGCUGAUGAAAGACUCCAGGUGGUGGGGCAGGUGAGGGAGGUGAGGAGUCCUUGCUUCCCUGAUGCUGAAGUAUAACACCAGAGAAGCACAACGAGACAAGUUUAGAAUGGGAAGCAAAAGCUUUAUUAAAGAACAAUAGAAAAGACUUCUCCAUGGAAGAAGGGGACCCAAGAAGUGGAAUCCAUGAAAGGGCGAUGUCUUCCUCCUUUUAUAGCUAAUGUCUUCUUUCAGCUUUCCCACAUUCCUGUCCUUAGUUCUGUUAUCUUGCAGUAAUGGAAUAUAGGUGGGAAGGCCCAAAAGGUGGGGGACAGGUGGGCUGAAGGAGUAAUCUGGGCAGGAAGGACUUUUGGAUUAGCAUCUCCAAAUGCUAAUCCAACAUUUGCUGGGAACUGCUUCAUUAACAUUUCCUUGGGAUGGGCUCUGGGCCUUGGGGACAUUUUCAAUUCCCCUUUUCCUGGACUCCAUUCUCAAUUUGGCCUUCAUUUUUUAUUUUAUUUCCAUAUUAGACCUGAUUUACCUAACUACACUAACUACCUAUCUUUAAAUAUGGCUUCAACUUCACCCCCAAAAUUCAGUAUAUUUCUCCUACAAAUGUGAACAUGCUAAUCUACAUAAUCAUAACAUUACUAUUACACCUAAAAAAUUAUCAAUAUCUCCCCAAAUUAUUUAAUGUUAUAUAAAGUUUAUAACCAUUUCUCCUCAGUUGCCCCUAAAUGCUUUUUAUUUCCUCAGUCAAGCACUAGAAUGUGAAAACAGCUAGAAUUCGCCACAUAGAUAAGUCUGAUUUCUUUUAUUUGGAAUUUUAUACUAUUCCCAGUAUUUUAUAUUAUCAUGUGUAAACAUGAAUAAAACCAGAAUUUUGGUGGAUUUGAUCUCUAAAGAGAAAUAUAAUAGAUAAAGAUUCAGUUACUUGCAAUCAUGUGCUAAAUUCACUUGCUAUACUUGGAAUUUAAACAAAGAAUUUCAUUAUUUAAAUUGAAUCUUUAAAUAGGCUAUUGUGUACAAAACAAGUAUCAAAUAUCAGGAUGAGACUGGUUCUUGCCUGUAGGACUGUACAGGGGUGGACCUUUGUUAAUAAUUUGUGCCGUUUUGCUAUAUUCCCAACUGCCAUUACAUUAGUUUAGUCUUCAUUGUUUUUGAUUUGACAUAUAGUUCUGGUUAUCUAUUGCUAUAUAAUAAACCCUUCAAAUUAGUGUCUUAAAACAGUAUCUCUUUUGCUCACAUAUCUGGAGUUAUGGGUCUCAGUCAUGCAAUUCUCUUGGGUUCUUUAGUUAGAUAAAAACGGGAUAGGGUUUCUUUGAAGGCUUUUUCACUAGCACUUCUGGUAACUGGCCUAGGAAGAUUAAACAGAAGGAGCUGCUUGAUCACCUCUCUCUAUAUAUGUUCUUACCAUAGGGCCUUUCACAUAGUGGCCCUACACUAGCCAUUUUUCUUUCAUGGCAGCUACCACCUUUGUGAAUAAAUUUCCCAAGAAAUAGCACAUGGCCCUGUGUAACCUGAUCUUUUUAGCUACUACUAUGGUUUGGAUAUUGAAUAUCCCCCCAAAUCCCUGUGUUAAAGACUUAGAUACCAGCCUGUGGCACUGGUAACUAAGGUAGUGAAACUUUUAGAGGUGAGGCUUAGUGGAAGGUCUUCAGUUACUGGAGACAAGCCCUGGAAGCAAACUGCAAGACUUUAGUCUCUUGCACUCUCUCUUUGCUUUCUAGCCACUAUGAUAUGAGCAUCCUGAUGUUGUCGCUCACCAUCUGGCCAUGGACUAAAACCUCUAAAACCAUAAGUCAAAAUAAACCUUUCCUCUUUACAGUUUUUUAUCUCAGAUAUUUUGUUAUAGUAAUGGGAAGAUGACUAAUGUAAUUCCUUAGUGACACUUUUGCCUUAUUUUAUUCCAAGAGGUAAUGACAUAGUUUGGCCCAUAUUCAAAGGAAGGGACUAUAGACUCUACCUUUAGAUAGGGAAAUGUUAAAGAAUCCGUGUACAUGCUUUAAAACCAGCAUUUUAACAAGAAUUUGUUUCUAAUUCGUUGAUUAGAAAUGAUGUCCUCAUCACUUCUAGACAAGAAAGAGAUUAUUAAUGCCAAUAAAUGAAAUAAAGCCAUAUUUCCAUCCUGUCA